rnacentral:rRNA from 1 species
GCUAGUUGGUGGGGUAACGGCCUACCAAGGCGACGAUACGUAGCCGACCUGAGAGGGUGAUCGGCCACACUGGAACUGAGACACGGUCCAGACUCCUACGGGAGGCAGCAGUAGGGAAUCUUCCGCAAUGGGCGAAAGCCUGACGGAGCAACGCCGCGUGAGUGAUGAAGGUCUUCGGAUCGUAAAGCUCUGUUGUUAGGGAAGAACAAAUGUGUAAGUAACUGUGCACAUCUUGACGGUACCUAACCAGAAAGCCACGGCUAACUACGUGCCAGCAGCCGCGGUAAUACGUAGGUGGCAAGCGUUAUCCGGAAUUAUUGGGCGUAAAGCGCGCGUAGGCGGUUUUUUAAGUCUGAUGUGAAAGCCCACGGCUCAACCGUGGAGGGUCAUUGGAAACUGGAAAACUUGAGUGCAGAAGAGGAAAGUGGAAUUCCAUGUGUAGCGGUGAAAUGCGCAGAGAUAUGGAGGAACACCAGUGGCGAAGGCGGCUUUCUGGUCUGCAACUGACGCUGAUGUGCGAAAGCGUGGGGAUCAAACAGGAUUAGAUACCCUGGUAGUCCACGCCGUAAACGAUGAGUGCUAAGUGUUAGGGGGUUUCCGCCCCUUAGUGCUGCAGCUAACGCAUUAAGCACUCCGCCUGGGGAGUACGGUCGCAAGACUGAAACUCAAAGGAAUUGACGGGGACCCGCACAAGCGGUGGAGCAUGUGGUUUAAUUCGAAGCAACGCGAAGAACCUUACCAAAUCUUGACAUCCUUUGACCGCUCUAGAGAUAGAGUUUUCCUCUUCGGAGGACAAAGUGACAGGUGGUGCAUGGUUGUCGUCAGCUCGUGUCGUGAGAUGUUGGGUUAAGUCCCGCAACGAGCGCAACCCUUGAACUUAGUUGCCAUCAUUCAGUUGGGCACUCUAAGUUGACUGCCGGUGACAAACCGGAGGAAGGUGGGGAUGACGUCAAAUCAUCAUGCCCCUUAUGAUUUGGGCUACACACGUGCUACAAUGGACAAUACAAAGGGCAGCGAAACCGCGAGGUCAAGCAAAUCCCAUAAAGUUGUUCUCAGUUCGGAUUGUAGUCUGCAACUCGACUACAUGAAGCUGGAAUCGCUAGUAAUCGUAGAUCAGCAUGCUACGGUGAAUACGUUCCCGGGUCUUGUACACACCGCCCGUCACACCACGAGAGUUUGUAACACCCGAAGCCGGUGGAGUAACCAUUUUGGAGCUAGCCGUCGAAGGUGGGACAAAUGAUUGGGGUGAAGUCGUAACAAGGUAGCCGUAUCGGAAGGUGCGGCUGGAUCACCUCCUUU